rnacentral:tRNA from 1 species
UUAAUUGAAGCCAAAUUAGAGGCUUUUUAUUGUUAAUAAAAAAAAUGAAUUUAAAUUCCAAUUAAA